UUCCUCCCGCUGUGUGUGGUGCCUCCCCCUAGGGGGCCUGGGUGGUACUGCGGCUCUGCAGCCGUCACAGGCGGCUCGCUGCACAGGAAGUCCUCCUGAGAAGAUCGAGAGCGAGACGUCUCUGUGGAAGACAGGCGGGUGGUUCGGCCUUCCAGCCAGCCCUCGCAGUCUCCUCUGCCCAGCGCUUUGCAGGAAACACGCCUCCGACUCAGCGAGGUCAGACCUCGUCCUGGAAACGCAAACGGAGCGACGUUUAAGAACAGACGAUAAAACCAACAACCUACAGAAUAAUGACAAAACAAAGAUGUAUUCAAACUAACAUGACUGUAUGUGAAGUUCCCUUGUCAGAUCCAGAUCUGUAGAAUCAAAAAAUUGCUUCAACAGAACCUGUCUGACAACCCGAAGAAUGGUAAAAUAUCUCUAAAGGUAGACCGUAAAAACAAUCCCGAAAUCCUGGAAGGACUGAUCAGUGUGAAAAGAUGUUCAAUAUGUUAUGUUAAGAAAAGCUUAACAUGAAAUCAAGUUUGCUGAAACAAACUGUUACUUAUUGAUAUUUUAAUAGAUUCUGGCACAACAGGCCCUUUAAGAUCAUUCAAAUUUUUGAAAUUGCCCAAAAUGAAAGCGAGUUUGACGCCUCUGGUUGAAAUGCAAUCGAGAAGUCUGUCAGAAAAGUCCAGCAGGAAAAAAUAAAUACAUAAAUAGCAUGUGAGAUUAAAUAGUCUGACAAGGAAAAUUUAAGACCAUAUUUAAGACCAACUUACAGCUUUAAAAAAAUUAUUUAAAACAUUUUAAGGCCUUAAAUUUACAUACAUGAUUUUAGGACAUCCUGAUUUAGCAGUUAGCAUGUCGUAGCAGCAAGGCAGAUGAAAAAAUGCUACUUUUGACUGAAGAGAGCGCUCAAAUAACUGACACUGAGGGUACUUUUAGGGGCAUUUUGGAUCAAAACACAAACAAUAACUUCUGGAACUGAGGGAAGGCCUGAAUGAAAACGACAAGAAGAGAAGAAUUAUUGUUAAGGAAGCGUAUUCUUAACAAUUCUGGUACUUUCUCAGUUCUACAACUUAAAACGUCACAGGCUGAUGUAGAAACAGCCUUGAGCUCUGAGAAUUUUCCACAACGCUGUAUUAUCGUGUGCAAGGUUUCCCCCAGAAAGCUUGCUAAGCCUGGUGGCUGGAUGUUAGAGCAGCCAUUCAUCCAGCGGAAAGGAAAUGUGAAAAUAUCACUUGAUACUUUUGUGUUAUUGAAAGAUUAAUAACUGAACACCAACAAUAAAACCUUAAAAAAUAAGGAAUGCUAAGCCUGGUGUCCCGCCAGGAUUAUAAUACACUGCCUGUGCUUACUAAAAGUGGUGCUUUUUUUCCGGCUUAAAGGUGAUGCAUCAGUAAGCUCCUUAUUAAAGAUAACUGGAGCAACAUGGCUUCCAGGUGAGGCCGGCAAAGAAACUCCUGCUGCUCUGCAUGAAAUGUCUUUUUAACAAGAAUCAUGAUCCAGGUGUCAAUUUUCCUCCUUGGCAGCUUUUUUCUAGAGGAAACAACUCUCCACAAAAGUGUUGACACACAAAAAACGAAACAUUCUUGCAUGAAGCGUGGAAAGGUUUUCAGCUUAGAGAUAAUGAAUCAUUUAUAUUCCUGCACAAGAGGGUAAUAUAUCUGAAAACGCACAAAAGUGUUGUGCAAUAAUGAUCGUCCUCGUUCCUGUGUCGACACUAACUAAUGCCAUCAUCAGUUUGGUCACAAAAGACCCAUUUGUGCACAGUUUUACUAAUUCCUAAUAUGUUGAUGAAUUAGUUAUUUAGAGCUACAAUUAUUAACAUCAAUUUCUUUCAGAAACGUUGGUUCAGUUGCUGUAAACAAACAGAGCCGUGUGCAGAUGGAGCCAAAGUUUUCAGAGCUUCUCACAGCAGCAGAUGGCAGAACAAGCGAUCAGACCGUGGAAAAAAAUUCAAAUCUCCCAGCAUGUUGAUCCAUGACAGUGUGAAAAGUUUGUCACAGAGGCAAAGGCACUUGUCAGAGUGAAUAUUAGAAAUAAAUGGAAAAAUCUCAACAAUUAUUUAAAAAAUUGAGUAAAACUGACAGAAAUAAUUAAGAGAAUCUUUGACUACUGUUUGGAAAGUUUUCAUUAUUAGAUAUACCUUGUAAAGCAUUAAUUUAAAGCUGUAAAAUAAGCACAAUUUGUUUGAAUAAAAAUGCUAAAUUUUUUACAAGAUCUUAUACCAGUACUGGGCCGGAUUUUGGUUUAAUUCCCAGAUUGAGUCCAACUGAGGAUACAGAUCCAAACCUCAUGUUGCCAAAUAUCACAUAUUAGUUCAUUUUACCCAGGAAGUUUCAACUUACAGGCACAAAAUUUACACUUUUAGAGAGUAAACUCUACAUAAGCCUGUUGCAAUAAUUAAUAAACCUAUAAAUCAAUUCAUUGCAUAAUAAAUGAACAUACGCUCCUCUUAUUUUGAAAGACAAUUUUGUUUACAGAGACAACAAUACAUUUCAUUUAUUGUUUUGAUUGUGUGUGCUUUUUCUUUUACAUCCAUUUUAUUUACUGUUUAUUUUUCAUUAUUAUACCAUAAUCGAUACAUUACUUGAAAACUGUCUCCAAACCACAAUAUUAUUGUUUAUCGCUAUAAUUAUCUGGGCUAUUUAUCGUCCAAUAAAAUAAAAUCUCUUGACAGGCCUACCUAAA